rnacentral:lncRNA from 1 species
UUUUUUUAUAAUCCAUUUGUUUUCAACCUUUUUACAAUCCAGUUCUUGUUUGUACCUCGGCCUUUUUAUAGUCCAUUUAUGUUUUGCGACUUGGCCUUUUGCAUUAAUUUGGUCCAACUUGGCAACUUUCUAUUUCUCACAUUUUCACAGUACACAAAAGAAAAACAUUUCAAAUGUUACACAAAUAAAUUCUUGAAAUGAUAGCCAAAAUUACCCUGUUAUAGUCUUUACUACCUAUUACAAUAUAACUAGCUACGAAGUACAACCACAACAAGG